CAAUUUAUCCAUUCUCUCAAGAGAGACAGAUACUUUCCCAAGUGAAAAUGACACCUUUGUUUUGCAGGUGUAUAUAUACACACUUAUAUGUACUCUUAUAUGUGAAGAAAAUGCCUUGGCUUAAAAAGCAAGCAUAAAGCAAUUCAUGGUUUCCCACAAGCUCAAGAAAGCAACAUGCUGCCAUGAGUUAUUCUUUCAGAUGGAGCAAAACAAAACAUGUGGAUUUCAACACAUCUGAAAAACCAGAGCCAACCAGAUGAGCAGCUAAUAAAGAGGAAAUCUGUGUCAAGGGAAUGAAUUUAAACUUUAUUAAUAACAUACACAGAAAGAAACUGUAUUCCACUCAUUCAGAAAAUGAAUGCACACCCCUACUGUCUCCGCAUGGUGAUUUUCAAUGAAAGACGGCAAUACAGCCUUCAGGACACCAGUCAGCAAUUGAAGUGAGAAGGCAAGGUUUAGUCUCCAAAGAAAGAAAAUCACAUGAACAGUGUUACAACUGCAUCUACCAAUGUUUUUGUUGUUAGUUUAUAAAAUCUGGACAAUGGCACAUUCACUGACAUCCUGGAAUUACAUAUUUAACCUGUCUUCCAGUUUCCACAUUAGAUGUGCCAAAGAAAAUCAGUUCCAAUUUGCUAAAUGAGCUGUGACUUCUAUGUAGCUGAUUAUGGUCUCAUACCUUCAGUGAUCAGAAUGAAGAAUAUACUUUAUUACAAAGAAACUACAGUGCUACCACAGCACUGACCUCUGGUGGAGCACAGUAAUUUUCAUCCUAGGCUGGGUUCCAUAGACUGUCGCUCUACAAUUUAUUUAUAGUCCUUCAUUCUGAACGUCCUCUGCAAACUUCUGUUUAUGUCUCACAAGUUUAAUUUAAAGAAAGCUAUUGCCACCUUGUGGAUUUUGAA